UGCAGUCGAACGGAUGAAUAAGCUUGCUUAUUUCGUUAGUGGCGCACGGGUGAGUAAUGUAUAGCUAACCUGCCCUUUAGUGGGGGACAACAGUUGGAAACGACUGCUAAUACCCCAUAUUCCUUCUUAUCACAAGGUAAGUUGGGAAAGAUUUAUUGCUAAAGGAUGGGGCUUUAUGGUAUCAGCUAGUUGGUGGGGUAACGGCCUACCAAGGCUAUGACGCCUACCUGGUCUGAGAGGAUGAUCAGGCACACUGGAACUGAGACACGGUCCAGACUCCUACGGGAGGCAGCAGUGGGGAAUAUUGCACAAUGGAGGAAACUCUGAUGCAGCAACGCCGCGUGGAGGAUGACGCAUUUCGGUGUGUAAACUCCUUUUAUAAGGGAAGAUAAUGACGGUACCUUAUGAAUAAGCACCGGCUAACUCCGUGCCAGCAGCCGCGGUAAUACGGAGGGUGCAAGCGUUACUCGGAAUCACUGGGCGUAAAGGAUGCGUAGGCUGGAAAUCAAGUCGAGAGUGAAAUCCAACGGCUCAACCGUUGAACUGCUCUCGAAACUGGUUACCUAGAAUAUGGGAGAGGUAGAUGGAAUUGGUGGUGUAGGGGUAAAAUCCGUAGAUAUCACCAGGAAUACCGAUUGCGAAGGCGAUCUACUGGAACAUUAUUGACGCUGAGGCAUGAAAGCGUGGGGAGCAAACAGGAUUAGAUACCCUGGUAGUCCACGCCCUAAACGAUGCACACUAGUUGUUGCGAUGCUAGUCAUUGCAGUAAUGCACUUAACAGAUUAAGUGUGCCGCCUGGGGAGUACGGUCGCAAGAUUAAAACUCAAAGGAAUAGACGGGGACCCGCACAAGCGGUGGAGCAUGUGGUUUAAUUCGACGAUACACGAAGAACCUUUACUGGACUUGACAU
rnacentral:rRNA from 1 species